rnacentral:lncRNA from 1 species
CUGACUCUUCCCGCCCCCAGUCUUAAAGAUCACUGGAUAAGGUCACUGGUGGGGACUGCUCCUAAAGUAUGCUCAACAGACAUCACAAUUAGCUUUUUCCCAUGAGCUGUUGGGUUGGGGGACCGUGUGUAGUAGAAGCACAAACACCUGGCCUCUCACCUGUAAGCACAGCGCAGACACCCAACGCUCCAGGGCACCGGUUCUGAAGACGCAGAACAUCUGCUUCCUUUUAGAUUUUCUCGAAGUGUCUGGAUGGGUGUGCCUCUUCCCAGCUCCCGCUGGACUGCGCAAAGCAGGAUAAUGACAAUGUGUGCAUCAAGAAAAUAAGGACCAGAAGUCGUCGGGACAAUGAAGAUGUUUAGCUAAGAAGUUUAAAAGGGGUAAAAAAGUAAUACAUUUAAUUUAGUGAUAAGUUCUAGUAUAAUAUUUGCUGUAAAUUUAAAAGUGAAUUCUGUAAAUAGUGCUAUCUGGUUGUUUAAGAGAAGAAAGCUUAGAAAUUUCUAGGUCUGAAUUGUCUAUUCAAAAACCCCACAUGGAGAUUAUGAAGGGGACAACUGGGUCUCAUAAAAUGACAAAAAUUUAAAACUUGGGGGUGGGAAGUAGGAGUUUGGGCCAAAGGAUGCCCUUUAACUCUGCAAAUGAAGCCGGGAAGUUUAUCCCCCAAGUCGAUCCCCAAUAACUGUGGGCUCUAGCACUUGCUUUGUACAUGCUUCUGUGUUUGUCUGUGUCCUCCAUCAGAAUGUAAACGGCAGAGGCUUCUAUCCUUGUUGUAUCCCCCACACCAGGCAGGCACUCAGGAAACGUUCAUGAGUGGACGGAUGAGUAGAUUAAUGAAACUUACAAGAUCUGUCUUUACAAUGGCGGAGACAUUUGGUUCAUACACUAGGGCUAUUUAUCAUCAGCAGGACAGUCUGAUCCUUGGUGUCUUUAUCCCUUAAGGGAAUGAAAUUGUAGAUUGGAGGAUGGUUUGUGAGCCCAUCUUCAGCAUAAAGGUGUUACUUUAUUUAAGGAAUGUCUGGUGGCUUGCCUUUUUCACUUUAAAAAUAUUUGUCUAAACUGGACUGCUUUCGUCUGAGAAGCCAUCCACUCACUAGCUCUUAGGGCCAUGGGCCAGAGUGCCCCUCCCUUCCAAACUGUGACACCCCUCUUAGCUUCUCUGCUUUGGCGUCAUUUACAUCUUCUGAGCUUUCUACUGGAUCUGCUCCCACCUGUGCUUUUUCUCACCACACCUGUUGACCUAACUUAGUGCCCAGCAUGCCACCUCGUACAGGAAGUGAUACAAACUCUCCCCCUAAAGCACAGCCGUUUCUGACAGCGGCAGAGCACGAGGCUUCUUCACCCACGGUUUCCAAAUUGCUUACUUGCAAGCAGUUGCCUCCUACAUCUCAUUUUAAGCCCAGGCUUCUUUCUUCAGUUUCAGACCCAUACAUCAAACUGCUGGGCAUCUCCAUUUUUAUAUUCCACUUGUCCUCCUGUUCUUCUUGCUCUGCUCCCUAAAUCAGAAGAGAGCACACCUUCUCUCCAGUCACCUGUCUGGAGGCCUCCCCAUUCACCUGCUUUCCAGUUUGAGCUGAGGAUGGAAAACAAGAGAGGGCGGCCGUCCCCUAGACUAUGAACUGCAAUGCCCAGGCCCUGUCUGUCCACUCUUGUAUCCCCAAAGUCUGGUGUGGAGCCAGGUGUACACAGUAAUAAAUAUUUGCUGAAUAAACAUAUGAAUCUAUGCG